CUGAGGAUCCCAGACACCCAGGGAUCUCAGAUCCCUGAGGAUCCCAGACACCCAGGGAUCUCAGAUCCCUGAGGAUCCCAGACACCCAGCUUUAAGUAUAAGGAACUAGUAGUAGGUUUAUUCCAUGCUAAAAAGAGAAGAGAUAAAACACAACAUUUCGGCUGUGAAUAAACCUAUUACUUGCAGAAUACGCAUGCCGACGCAGCUGCCCACCUGAACUGGUUUAAAUAUAAGGGCCCAUUUCAUUCCCCGCUGAAGUGCUGCUCCUCUUGGGGGGCCCAGCAGCCCUGCUGCCCAGCAGAUCAGGGGGAGGGGUGAGAAACUGCAGCGCCAAUUGAAUCAAGGGGGGGGGGGGACAAAGCGUGCAAGCGCCACCUACUGGUCCACCAGCACCACUUCCCGUAAUAAUUGAGCUUUCCUCAGUAGUUUCUCAUCCCAGGUCAGGCUCACGUUUUCCUUAGCUCCUGAUCAGACUGCAAGCUAGGAGCACUGGACUUCACAGGUAUGAGAACGUAAGACAGGCUACAAAGCGGCUUAGUCUGAGUGCUGUCAUCAUGCAGCCUUUCUCGAGAUCUAGGAAAUUAUUUGGGCAAAUUAGAGAAAAAAGUGCAGGAAAAUGAGCCCCAGACCUGUGAAGUCUCGGCAGGGGAAUAUGUCCUCGUGAUCUGUGUUGUCCAGAUGGUGGUGAGUAACAUCCUAGUAUAGACAAGCACCUCAAUCCCUGACACCCCAGCAGCUCCUCCCCCACCUCCCCAGACAAGAAGAGGAAAUCGGCUCACGGGUUUUCAAAAGUCGCCCGGUUCACACCACUGUUCGGCCAGCCUGAAACCCAGACAUCUCCCUUUCCUGCUCCCAGAUCAGUGUGCUGCAGUCAGAGCUGGAGACCCUGUCGACCCAGACAGCCUCCCUCAGAGAAGAGACGCGCUUGCUGAGGGAGCAGAUCCAGGACGUCAGGAAACAGCAUCGGGACAUAGUUUCAGUGUACAGGACUCACCUGCUGAGCGCAGCACAGGGAAUGAUGGACGAGGAGGUCUACUCCAUGCUUCUGUGCAUCCAUGGCAUGCAGAGAGAGGCUGUGUGCUGAGAGACUGACACCAUCCCCACUCCCACAAUGCACUCCUCCAAGUCAGAGCCCACACUUCCCCUUGACCAAUAAGGACUGUGGAAGACAGCAGACGUGCAUGGAGAGGGUACUGUGAUUGAUGGACACUGUGGUCUAAGACAGCAGCAUAUGAAGGCACCCAGAUCCCUGUAUAUGAAGCAGUCCUGACUGAUCACUGUUACCAUGUUUUUCUCCAUAUCAAACUGAAGCCUGUUCACUGUUGUCUCUGGUUUCUCCUUACACUGUGACAUAACCACAAAAAGUGCUGAAAUGUUUGUUCUUCAGAUUAAAUGUCUCA